AACAUUCGGGCUUAUCAUGAUUAGUGCUAGACAAAGAAGGAUUUGUUUUAGGAAUCGACUCCUCAUUUUCAUUAACGUUCUCACCAACUUUGUUAUCCACUUGGUUUCCCGACCUUAGAGAAAUAAUCGCAUUAACAUUCUCGGGAGGUCUUUGAUUGAGAGGAAACUUAGGAUUGACCUCGGGUUGACUUGGGAAUUUGUUCUUCUCUCGCUCACACAAUGCGCUAGCUAAUUGACUCAAUUGCGCCUCUAAUUUAGACACGGCUUGCACAUUAGAAUGCAAAAUUUGCCUAUCUUGGGUUAGGGUUG
rnacentral:lncRNA from 1 species